rnacentral:rRNA from 1 species
CGGGUGGUAAUGCCGGAUGCUCCAGUCCAUCGCAUGGUGGUCUGGGAAAGAUUUCAUCGGUAUGGGAUGGGGUCGCGUCCUAUCAGGUAGUCGGCGGGGUAACGGCCCACCGAGCCUACGACGGGUAGCCGGCCUGAGAGGGCGACCGGCCACAUUGGGACUGAGAUACGGCCCAGACUCCUACGGGAGGCAGCAGUGGGGAAUAUUGCACAAUGGGCGCAAGCCUGAUGCAGCGACGCCGCGUGCGGGAUGGAGGCCUUCGGGUUGUAAACCGCUUUUGUCGGGGAGCAAGCCUUCGGGUGAGUGUACCCUUCGAAUAAGCACCGGCUAACUACGUGCCAGCAGCCGCGGUAAUACGUAGGGUGCAAGCGUUAUCCGGAAUUAUUGGGCGUAAAGAGCUCGUAGGCGGUUCGUCGCGUCCGGUGUGAAAGUCCAUCGCUUAACGGUGGAUCUGCGCCGGGUACGGGCGGGCUGGAGUGCGGUAGGGGAGACUGGAAUUCCCGGUGUAACGGUGGAAUGUGUAGAUAUCGG